AACAUCGCGCACCUGCGGGAACCUGCGGAGGGAUCAUUAGCGAGACUUAGUGCUCCAAACACCUGUGAACCGUACCUACAAAAUUUUAUUGCAGCGUUGUUUCGGCGGGUUUACGCCGGCGGGGACCGGGACGGAAUUUUAUUUCCCUCCCCGGAACCCUCGCCGGCGGGGUUCGGCCUGGCCAGCCGAGCCGCCUGCCGGCAGCGCCAAACACUUUGUUAUUUACAGCGGAUUUAACUC
rnacentral:misc_RNA from 1 species